rnacentral:misc_RNA from 1 species
CUGAGUUUAGGGUUCCUUGUGGGCCCAAACCUCUAAACCCCUUGGUGUCUAUUACCCUGUUGCUUCGGCAGGCAAGCCCAAUAUGGGGUACCUGCCGGAGCCUUUAUGUGUAACAAUCUAGUUAUAAAUUCUUUUGUCUGAUCCUUCUGAAAAAUAUAGAAUUGUUA